AAAAUGAUCCAAAUUUAAAAACUACAGGUUUUUAGGACAAAGAAGAUGAAUAAAACCUAAGGCUUCUUAAGUUUAUUCUUUUUCUUUUCCUUAAUCAACGGUGAAAAAUUUUAGUCAUGAAUAUCCAAAUUUUUGCUCUGAAACCAGCUGUAAGGAAUAAAAUAACAAAAAAUUUGGCAUUUAGUAGCUUGAGCAGCAAAAUUGACUAUAUUUUGCUGGCAAAUAAUUUUGACGACUAACUAGAUUUGAAUAAACUUUUGCAUGAAUAUUUAUUAAACUCUUAUAAUUUAGUUGUGACGUUGCAAUCCACUACAACAAAGCAACGUUUCGCCACCGUCACAGAGCGCGGGUUUGCGCUCGCACUGAACUGGGGAUCGAGGACCAUAAAUAUAGAUGGAUCCUCAGAGCAGUCUCCAGAAGAGAGCUGCGUUCGCGUUUUGUUAUUUUCUUUAUUAAUUCUUUAUUUAAUUUUUAUAUGUAAAAUAAAUUGCAGGUACAAUCGCCGCAUUGAGCAACGCCAGCAAAGGAGCAAGCGGCAAGCAGCAGACGGCGGGGAGUGGAAGCAAAUUUGUGGAAGAAGUUUCGAGCCAAACAACGGUAGAUCUUUGCACAGAGACCCCAAAGAGUCGCUAGAAAGAGAGACUGUUGGCAAAAAUAGCCGGAGUAAUUUCGACCCCGUCAAGCUUCAAAAGAAAGAAAGACCAGUUUCCUUCGACCUUGCCAAUAUCCUGGCUACUGUAACUUCCUCUCCGUUCCGGAGAGAAGGCUAUAGAAGCCAGAAUAUUGGCGAGGUCGGAGGAAACUGGCGAAGGAUUUUUCCCUCCGGAAAACCGGCCAUCGGGAUCCUGAAGACACCCUCAAGUGGCAGUCCAAAUUACGCGCGUGCCGCAUGAUCGACCACGCGAGCGCAGUGAUUGGCUGCCACGCGCGAGCGUCGCGCGCAUCCUGGCAAGGAAGGAGUACAAGUGCCAUCGAUCCUGAUACUGAAAUUCCUGAAUCCAGUAAAUCACACUCUUCUUAGGGCUAUUAACAACAUUAGGGCAAAGAGCAACUUGCAAUGACUUGCAACCGGCCCGGUAAGCCAUAAAGGAAGCGAGCGAGAAAGAGAGAGAGAGAGAGAGAGAGAGGCGACCGGGGAGCAGCUGUCGUAAGACGACUGAGAGGACGACGACGAGAAGAUCCUUCUUAACGAGGCGGAAAGAUUAAUAAAAGAUUCUAUUGGAAAAUCGAAAGUACAGGAAAGUUAAGGAGGAUAAAGAGGAUUGUUUAAUAGUAGGCGAUUUAAUCCACAUCAUACAUCAUGGAACUGCAAAUACAUUGAUAGUAAUAAAGAGUACUUAUUGAGUGCAAUGUUUAAUAAAAGGAUUCAUCAAUAACGAGUAAGGGGAUGAUGCAUGGAAAUCAGACCAUUUUCCUAUUUUGUUAUCUUUGAGUAAUGAAACUCAUUUAUACAAAAAACGAUCCAAUAGAAUUACUAACAAAAAGACAGCUUGGUUACAAUAUGCAGCUUUAAUGGAUAAAUCUUUUUGGGAUCAGAAUCCUGGAGUGAUGGAGUAUUUGUAUGAUAUGGAACAAGCAUACCAAGAUCAUCACGAGGGAUCAGUUCGCAGCAGUCGCAGAGGUCAAGCAUCAUUUGCCGCGGUUACGACUUGGAUGGAUGACCGCUUGGAAAUUUCUAAAGAAAAAUUCCUUUCUCGGGAUUUUUUUCGUUGCAAAAAAUGUUUUUAAAAUGUUACAAAAAUAUUGUUUUGUUUAUUAGGAUUAUGUAAUGAUAUAAUACCUAUUUUCAUCAGGCAUAGAUCGGAUUUAAUCGGACUUGAAUCUUUCUGCUGACUUUGGAUUAUGAUGGAUUUAAUCGGAUGCGAUUCCUUAUUCAUAGAUUUACUCGGUAUAAAACUGACUCUUUUGAGUACAGAUUUCGGACUAAAAUAGAUUCAAGCAGAAAUUUUCCUAUCCAAUACUUUCACCAGGAUUGGUAUUAAUACAUUUAUUGUUUACAAAUGGUUCGAAAUCUCCACAAGCUCAAUCAUUAGGUGCGGAUAUAGUUAUUGAAGAACAGAACGAGGGUUAUUGUUUAAGUCUACCUAAACAAAGUUCUAUAUUUACUGCAGAGUCAAUAGCAAUCUCUUUUGUUUAAAAAUUGUCGAGAAUAAAAUAGAUACUUUUGAUAGAUACUUAAUUGUUAUUUUUACUAAUGCUAAAUCUGUCCUUUAAGCCAUUGCUAAUAAUGUUAUAAGUGUUUAUCAUAAUAAAUAUGUUCUUAAAAUUAAAAAAUUACAUACCGUUUGUUUUCUGUUCCUGAACUCCCUGAAUUA